rnacentral:rRNA from 1 species
UACGGAGACUGCAAGCGUUAUUCGGAUUCACUGGGCGUAAAGGGUGCGUAGGCGGCCCUGUAAGUCAGUGCUGAAAUAUCCCGGCUUAACCGGGAGGGUGGCAUUGAUACUGCGGGGCUAGAGUACAGAUGAGGUAGGCGGAAUUGACGGUGUAGCGGUGAAAUGCUUAGAUAUCGUCAAGAACACCUAUAGCGAAGGCAGCUUACUAGGCUGUAACUGACGCUGAGGCACGAAAGUGUGGGGAUCAAACAGG